rnacentral:rRNA from 1 species
AUUGAACGCUGGCGGCAGGCCUAACACAUGCAAGUCGAACGGUAACAGGAAGAAGCUUGCUUCUUUGCUGACGAGUGGCGGACGGGUGAGUAAUGUCUGGGAAACUGCCUGAUGGAGGGGGAUAACUACUGGAAACGGUAGCUAAUACCGCAUAACGUCGCAAGACCAAAGAGGGGGACCUUCGGGCCUCUUGCCAUCGGAUGUGCCCAGAUGGGAUUAGCUAGUAGGUGGGGUAACGGCUCACCUAGGCGACGAUCCCUAGCUGGUCUGAGAGGAUGAACAGCCACACUGGAACUGAGACACGGUCCAGACUCCUACGGGAGGCAGCAGUGGGGAAUAUUGCACAAUGGGCGCAAGCCUGAUGCAGCCAUGCCGCGUGUAUGAAGAAGGCCUUCGGGUUGUAAAGUACUUUCAGCGGGGAGGAAGGGAGUAAAGUUAAUACCUGUGCUCAUUGACGUUACCCGCAGAAGAAGCACCGGCUAACUCCGUG